rnacentral:lncRNA from 1 species
GAUAAUUUAUUUCUGCUGAAACUAUACUCAAUAAAUACUUCUGAUAAACGAAUGUUUUCAACUUUAAUAUAUCAAUUCAGGAAUUCAAAUAUUAGAAUUACUCUUAUAAUUUGUUACUCUGAAGUAUUCCUUCAUUUAUUUGCCGCAGCCCUAUGAAUAAUCUUCCCGCCGCCACCUCUAUUCGAAAAAAUGCCUGGCUGACAUGGCCGGUCGACAGCCGCUGCGUGGCGCAUCGAUGAGUUUACUGAAGGCGCUGCUGGUCCUAGUCGUCAUAACGUGCCCUGUAUCCUGCAGUCCUAAGAUACCUGCCAGGAUCUCUUACAAAAACAUUCACAAGAACCUCAUACGACUACCAGUUAACUACAAGAACACUUUAACAUCAGAAACCCAAUUGAAAAAAAUAAAUAUGUUCGAUAAACCAAACAGAAAUAGUUUAAAAAGUUCUACCAAUGCGGGUUUAUAUCUCUUUGAUGAGAAAUUUGCCCGAGAAUUCCAAAAUCAAAAUAAUUUACAAAGAAAUUACCAUGAACAUGAACUGCCAUGGCAAAACCAAAUGUCAAAUUUAAACCCAAAAAACGGAUUAAUUCAUCAAUCUAAUCACAAUCAGGGUUAUCCCCGGAAUACAUUUGACCCCACCUCUAAUUCCCACCAUAAUAAUUUAGCUCCAUACCCUAAUCGUUUACCGUUCCCAGAAAAUAACCACGGAAUACCUCCUUCCAUCAAUAAUAUUCAAGGAAUGUCAAAUCACGAAGAUCAAGAAAAAUCCCAACCGAGAGAAAAUCAAGACCUAGUCGAGGGAUUUCCUAGUCGUAACACACGCCUUCUAUCAAGUCCAAACUUUCCACACUCUUAUAUCGCAAAGCUCGCGAGGGAAAACUCUUACAAUUCCAACAAACGGGUCACGCUGACAGUGGAAUGCAGUUUCAUACUGCGGCAAUUCAUGUGUAGGAUGAACGCUACAACUGUAGAAAACGAUUGCGUGGACUGCACUAUAGACGACUUCAUGCAGCUCAUUUGUCCCUCUAUUUACAAUGCGAAAAACAUCACAUCCAGCCACUCCCAAGAGGAAUUCGGAAUGCCUGCCGACGCCAGAGAUGC